rnacentral:siRNA from 1 species
UCCCAAGUACUCUACAAUGAU